rnacentral:rRNA from 1 species
UACGGAGGGUGCAAGCAUUGAUCGGAAUUAUUGGGCGUAAAGGGUGCGUAGGCGGUAAUGUAAGUCGGAUGUGAAAUUCCACGGCUCAACUGUGGAGCUGCAUUCGAAACUGCAUAACUGGAGCGUAGUUAGGGAAAACGGAAUUCCACGUGUAGCGGUGAAAUGCGUAGAUAUGUGGAAGAACACCAGUGGUGAAGACGGUUUUCUGGGCUAUAGCUGACGCUGAGGCACGAAAGCUAGGGGAGCAAACAGG